rnacentral:misc_RNA from 1 species
UGCCACGUGAGCAAACACUCUCCGAAAUCCACUCAAUUUCGCCACUCUGAAGUUGAUCAGAUCCGGGAAUGUACUCCGAGCACUCCUCUCUGAGAGGAGAGAACCGAACCCGCAAAUGGUGAUAAGUCCAUCGGAUGAUACAAUUCGAUCAAAAUCAGAUUCAUCGGCAAGUUCCAACGGGAAUUUCAGCUCGUCGCCAUCGACGGGGAAAUCGGCUGAGCCGGCGGAAGGCAUGGUGAAUUUUCGCGGG